AUUGAACGCUGGCGGCAGGCCUAACACAUGCAAGUCGAACGAGUGGCGGACGGGUGAGUAAUGUCUGGGAAACUGCCCGAUGGAGGGGGCUAACUACUGGAAACGGUAGCUAAUACCGCGUACCAUCGGAUGUGCCCAGAAGGAAUUAGCUUGUAGGUGAGGUAACGGAUCACCUAGGCGACGAUCCCUAGCUGGUCUGAGAGGAUGACCAGCCACACUGGAACUGAAACAAGGUCCAGACUCCUACGGGAGGCAGAGUGAGGAAAUAUUGCGCAAUGGGCGCAAGCCUGAUGCAGCCGUGCGGCAUGUAUGGAGAAGGCCUUAGGGUUGUAAAAUACUUACAGCGGAGAGGCAUAACCCGCAGAAGAAGCACCGGCUAACGCCGUGCCAGCAGCCGCAGUAAUAC
rnacentral:rRNA from 1 species